CAGAGAGAGAGAGAGGAGAGGAAGGAGAAAAAAAACAGGAAA
rnacentral:sRNA from 1 species